rnacentral:rRNA from 1 species
UACGUAGGGUGCAAGCGUUGUCCGGAAUUAUUGGGCGUAAAGAGCUCGUAGGCGGUUUGUCGCGUCUGCUGUGAAAAUCCAGGGCUUAACCCUGGACCUGCAGUGGGUACGGGCAGACUAGAGUGCGGUAGGGGAGAUCGGAAUUCCUGGUGUAGCGGUGAAAUGCGCAGAUAUCAGGAGGAACACCGGUGGCGAAGGCGGAUCUCUGGGCCGUAACUGACGCUGGAGGAGCGAAAGCAUGGGGAGCGAACAGGA